rnacentral:tRNA from 1 species
GCUUCCUUGGUGUAGUUGGUUAUCACGGUUAGUGUUCUUGAUCUCAAGGUCGCCAGUUCGAUCCUGGCAGGGAGCA